rnacentral:tRNA from 1 species
UAUCUUGGUGUAAGUUAGCACGUAAAAUUUUGAUUUUUAAAGUGUGUGCUUCAGAUG